UGUGUACAAGUGGAGGCAUGGUGUACAGAUAGACAGGGUGUACAGGUGGAGACAGGUUGGCGGAGUGAGGCUUUGACAGUUUGUCUAUUGGGAGUGGACAGCAGGCUCGUGCAUGUAUGUGCACUUCCAUGACCACCGAGAUGGACGAUUGUGUUUUAUAAAUGAGGCCCCUGUUGUGUGGCACAGUGCUAACAUCAGUGCUAACAUAAACGCCAACGUAUAUUUGAACACAAGUGCAUUAACAUGAUACCAGCAAAUCAGGUGGUCUUCAGAAAGCAUCACUGCAUGUCAAACCCCAAAAGCCACUUGGAGAGCAUCACUCAAACUGAUGGCCAAGUUGAGUGCCAUUUUCUUUUCAGUAUUUACGUACGGUUUAAAAACAAACAAA